GAUGAACGCUGGCGGCGUGCCUAAUACAUGCAAGUCGAGCGGAGUGAUGGUGCUUGCACUAUCACUUAGCGGCGGACGGGUGAGUAAUGCUUAGGAAUCUGCCAUUUAGUGGGGGACAACAUUCCGAAAGGAAUGCUAAUACCGCAUACGUCCUACGGGAGAAAGCAGGGGAUCUUCGGACCUUGCGCUAAAUGAUGAGCCUAAGUCGGAUUAGCUAGUUGGUGGGGUAAAGGCCUACCAAGGCGACGAUCUGUAGCGGGUCUGAGAGGAUGAUCCGCCACACUGGGACUGAGACACGGCCCCGACUCCUACGGGAGGCAGCAGUGGGGAAUAUUGGACAAUGGGCGGAAGCCUGAUCCAGCCAUGCCGCGUGUGUGAAGAAGGCCUUUUGGUUGUAAAGCACUUUAAGCGAGGAGGAGGCUACUAGUACUAAUACUACUGGAUAGUGGACGUUACUCGCAGAAUAAGCACCGGCUAACUCUGUGCCAGCCGCCGCCGUAA
rnacentral:rRNA from 1 species